AUUGAACGCUGGCGGCAUGCUUUACACAUGCAAGUCGAACGGUAACAGGGAGCUUGCUCCGCUGACGAGUGGCGAACGGGUGAGUAAUGCGUCGGAACGUGCCGAGUAGUGGGGGAUAACGCAUCGAAAGGUGUGCUAAUACCGCAUACGUACUGAGGUAGAAAGUGGGGGACCUUCGGGCCUCACGCUAUUUGAGCGGCCGACGUCUGAUUAGCUAGUUGGGGAGGUAAAGACUCACCAAGGCGACGAUCAGUAGCGGGUCUGAGAGGAUGGUCCGCCACACUGGGACUGAGACACGGCCCAGACUCCUACGGGAGGCAGCAGUGGGGAAUUUUGGACAAUGGGCGCAAGCCUGAUCCAGCCAUGCCGCGUGUCUGAAGAAGGCCUUCGGGUUGUAAAGGACUUUUGUCCGGGAGCAAAUGCCUGGUGUUAAUAGCACUGGGAGCUGAGAGUACCGGAAGAAUAAGCACCGGCUAACUACGUGCCAGCAGCCGCGGUAAGAC
rnacentral:rRNA from 1 species